rnacentral:siRNA from 1 species
GACGCAACGCCAUGUUCAGAUCC